rnacentral:rRNA from 1 species
CUACGUAGGGGGCGAGCGUUGUCCGGAAUGAUUGGGCGUAAAGGGCGCGUAGGCGGCCCGGUAAGUCUGGCGUGAAAGUCCUGUUUUUAAGAUGGGAAUUGCUUUGGAUACUGUCGGGCUUGAGUGCAGGAGAGGUAAGUGGAAUUCCCAGUGUAGCGGUGAAAUGCGUAGAGAUUGGGAGGAACACCAGUGGCGAAGGCGACUUACUGGACUGUAACUGACGCUGAGGCGCGAAAGUGUGGGGAGCAAACAGGAUUAGAUACCCUGGUAGUCCACACUGCAAACGAUGAAUGCUAGGUGUAGGGGGUAUCGACCCCUUCUGUGCCGCAGUCAACACAAUAAGCAUUCCGCCUGGGGAGUACGGCCGCAAGGCUUAAACUCAAAUGAAUUGACGGGG